GGGGGAAGAUUAGGAGUGGGUGACGGAGAGACGGUCGGAGACGGCUCCGUUGAACACUCCUUUAAGAAUAAGGGUGCUGCGAAGACACGCCCUUCCUCUAGCGCCAAUCCUGUUGGUGCAAAAAUCUGCUUGCGCCGGAGAAGCUGGAGUCGGAGAAGCCGCGGUUGCCGUCGGGACCUGCAAAGGAAGUCUAAACCGGAGGUGGGGUUGCUCCGGCAAGAUCCUCCGAUGCUCAAGUCAGUUC
rnacentral:lncRNA from 1 species